rnacentral:sRNA from 1 species
GCCAGGCAUGGUAGCAUGUGCCUGUAGUCCUAGCUACUUGGGGGACUGAAGUGAGAGGUUCACUUGAGCCCAGGAGUUUGAGGCUACAGUGAGCCCUGAUCAUGCCACUGCACUCCAUCCUGGGCAACAGAGUGAGACUCUGUCUCUUAAAAAAUAAAUAGGCUGGGUGCAGUGGCUCAUGCCUGUAAUCCUAGCACUUUGGGAGGCAGAGGCAGGCGGAUCACAAGGUCAGGAGCUUGAGACCAUCCUGGCUAACACGGUGAAACCUCAUCUCU